rnacentral:rRNA from 1 species
GAUGAACGCUGGCGGCGCGCCUAAUACAUGCAAGUCGAGCGAACGGACGAGAAGCUUGCUUCUCUGAUGUUAGCGGCGGACGGGUGAGUAACACGUGGAUAACCUACCUAUAAGACUGGGAUAACUUCGGGAAACCGGAGCUAAUACCGGAUAAUAUUUUGAACCGCAUGGUUCAAAAGUGAAAGACGGUCUUGCUGUCACUUAUAGAUGGAUCCGCGCUGCAUUAGCUAGUUGGUAAGGUAACGGCUUACCGAGGCAACGAUGCAUAGCCGACCUGAGAGGGUGAUCGGCCACACUGGAACUGAGACACGGUCCAGACUCCUACGGGAGGCAGCAGUAGGGAAUCUUCCGCAAUGGGCGAAAGCCUGACGGAGCAACGCCGCGUGAGUGAUGAAGGUCUUCGGAUCGUAAAACUCUGUUAUUAGGGAAGAACAUAUGUGUAAGUAACUGUGCACAUCUUGACGGUACCUAAUCAGAAAGCCACGGCUAACUACGUG